ACUACGAGCGGCGGACGGCUGAGUAACACGUUGGAAUCUGCCCCGAACUCAGGAAUAACACACCGAAAGGUGUGCUAAUACCGGAUAGUCCCGCAAGGGUAAAGCUUUUGCGGUUCGGGAGGAUCCUGCGGCCUAUCAGUUAGUUGGUGAGGUAAUGGCUCACCAAGACGAUGACGGGUAGCUGGUCUGAGAGGAUGAUCAGCCAGACUGGGACUGAGACACGGUCCAG
rnacentral:rRNA from 1 species